GCCUGAUGCAGCAUGCCGCGUGUGUGAUGAAGGCCUUAGGGUUGUAAAGCACUUUCAAUGGUGAAGAUGAUGACGGUAGCCAUAGAAGAAGCCCCGGCUAACUUCGUGCCAGCAGCCGCGGUAAUA
rnacentral:rRNA from 1 species